CAGAAGUGAGACUGGCACUCAAGACCUGUUGUUUCAUUGGGUCAUUAUCUGAUUAAGCUACACAGGAGAUGAUGCAAAGGAGCCAAGCACUCAGCCUAUCUCUAUACCCUCUAACAGAGAGAGAUUAUGAGUUGAAACACCUAUUGUGCCCACAUGGAGAAAUUCUGAACUUCUUAAACAACUGGCAAAUAAUGUGUACAGCUUGGACUUUCUUUGAAAACAGAAUGCUACAUUAAAGGACAACAAAUCUUCUGGCAAUAACUCAAAUUUAACAGGUUGCUGCAGCAAAUCUAUCUAAACAACCAGUGUGUGAUCCCACAAGAGUAUCAACAGUGCAUUGUCCUGAGAAUAAAAAUGCUUAUAUUAAAUCUG